GAUGAACGCUGGCGGCGUGCCUAAUACAUGCAAGUCGAGCGAACAGACGAGGAGCUUGCUCCUCUGACGUUAGCGGCGGACGGGUGAGUAACACGUGGAUAACCUACCUAUAAGACUGGGAUAACUUCGGGAAACCGGAGCUAAUACCGGAUAAUAUAUUGAACCGCAUGGUUCAAUAGUGAAAGACGGUUUUGCUGUCACUUAUAGAUGGAUCCGCGCCGCAUUAGCUAGUUGGUAAGGUAACGGCUUACCAAGGCAACGAUGCGUAGCCGACCUGAGAGGGUGAUCGGCCACACUGGAGCUGAGACACGGUCCAGACUCCUACGGGAGGCCGCAGUAGGGAAUCUUCCGCAAAGGGCGGAAGCCUGACGGAGCAACGCCGCGUGAGUGAUGAAGGUCUUCGGAUCGUAAAACUCUGUUAUUAGGGAAGAACAAAUGUGUAAGUAACUAUGCACGUCUUGACGGUACCUAAUCAGAAAGCCACGGCUAACUACGUG
rnacentral:rRNA from 1 species